rnacentral:piRNA from 1 species
UGCUUCCAGAGUUUGUAAAGGGCAUGUGC